GGCAUGGAUUAGGCAUGCAAGUCGAACGAUGAAGCGGUGCUUGCACCGUGGAUUAGUGGCGCAAGGGUGAGUAACACGUGAGUAAUCUACCGAAAAGACCGGGAUAGCCCAGGGAAACCUGGAUUAAUACCGGAUGUGGACAUUUUCCUGCACGGGUUAAUGUUUAAAGAUUUAUUGCUUUUUGAUGAGCUCGCGUCCCAUUAGCUUGUUGGUAGGGUAACGGCCCACCAAGGCAAAGACGGGUAGGUGGUCUGAGAGGAUGGUCACCCACACUGGGACUGAGACACUGCCCAGACUUCUACGGAAGGCUGCAGUCGAGAAUCUUCCGCAAUGCACGAAAGUGUGACGGAGCAAUGCCGCGUGAGUGAUGAAGGCCUUCGGGUUGUAAAACUCUGUCACCCGGGAAUAUAAUGAAGGUACCGGGAGAGGAAGCCACGGCUAACUACGUGCCAGCAGCCGCGGUAAUACGUAGGUGGCGAGCGUUAUUCGGAAUUAUUGGGCGUAAAGGGUCCGCAGGGGGUUUAUUAAGUCUGAUGUGAAAUUUCAGGGCUCAACCUUGAAAGUGCAUUGGAAACUGGUAGACUUGAGUGCAGGAGAGGGAAGCGGAAUUCUUGGUGUAGCGGUGGAAUGCGUAGAUAUCAAGAAGAAUACCAACGGCGAAGGCAGCUUUCUGGACUGUAACUGACCCUCAUGGACGAAAGCGCGGGUAGCGAACAGGCUUAGAUACCCUGGUAGUCCGCGCCGUAAACGAUGUACACUUGAUGUUGGAAGUUUUGGUCCUUUCAGUGUCGAAGUUAACGCGUUAAGUGUACCGCCUGGGGAAUACGAUCGCAAGGUUAAAACUCAAAGGAAUUGACGGGGGCUCACACAAGCGGUGG
rnacentral:rRNA from 1 species